CCAGUUUUUGUGAGGCUACUUUUAUCUAAAUAUGGACAGCAUCUUGUCGAGUAGAUGUAAAUAACAGCUAAAUCGUUAGUGAUUUUGACCUGGAGUUUAUGGCAACUAUGACGUUAGGCAACUGCAAUGGUUUGACGUCAUGAACGAACGAAAAGUACCCAAGGAUAAUUUGUUAAAGAAGUAUUUUGGGCGUGCAGCUUCAGAAACUGAAUUCCUUACUGAAUGGUACAUGGUAGAGAGAUUUGGCUUCAUUUACUGUCAGUCAUUUCCUCUGCUUGUACUUUUCAGUUUAGCCUGAACCUGAAGAGUAACAACUGAAUCAACAGAAGUAUGGAUCUGUAUGAUGUUUCAAGGGUUUUCAUCUGUAAGAGAUUUCAUUGGGUCCCUAACUCUUGAGAAGGCUGUGGUUUCUUCCCGUAACUCAAAGGUUAUAGCCGGUUUUUUCAGGACUUUGAGUACAGUGAUUGAGAGUUAACUGUACUAUGUAGUAUUUUGUCUACACAUCUGAGGAGCAAAAGCUAACUGUGUUAGCUUUUGCUAACUGAGCUGUUAGCGAAAGAUAACAGCUCAGGCUCAUUGAUCUCUUGAAUUUACAGUGAUUGGCAUAGCUAACCUAAAUUAAUUUUUACUGUGUAGUUGUUAAGUAAUUUUUAUACCUUCUGACACCUCUUUACACACCCCUGAUGAAAAACUGUUACGCAAUUUUACUCCAUAUAGAGAUGUUUGGAGCUUCUUUAGAUCACCUGUUUCUUUCAUGUCUUAAUAUCUCUUACCCCAUCUUUGUUAAUAGCAAACAUAAUUUUUGUAAAAUAGUUUAAAUGAAAAUUCAGAAAGUAAAUUUUUAAGCUCAAUGGAAGACUAAGUUGGAGCAUAUUCUUGAAGAUUUAAAUCUUGGAUCCUCCUUUUUCUAGAUAUUUGCCUAGAAGCUUGUUAAGACAUCCUACGUAGAACAUUGAAGGAACAGUGUGAAGCAGGAUAAUGGUAGAACUAACGUAACAUUGGGGCAAAAUAUUGAAAUUAUUCUGUGUAAUUUGUCUGCUUGUCAUCAAAAAAGGGUGGAAGUAUCUGAAGACAUAACAUGCCUCAUAAUUCAUUUAAGAGGAAUUGGUUAAUUUUUAAAAGGUUUUUACCAUAUUGUUUGGAGGCUUGCUCCAUUUCCCUUGAUCAAAUCCAAUUUGUUAAACAGAUAUAUUUCUGUUUCAUUCAUGAAGAAAUAAAGAUUUGAUCAUUUGAAUUGGUACCUACUAUGUGUAUAUUUUU